UCCAGACUCCUACGGGAGGCAGCAGUGGGGGAUAUUGCACAAUGGGGGAAACCCUGAUGCAGCGACGCCGCGUGGGUGAAGAAGCGCCUCGGCGCGUAAAGCCCUGUCGGCAGGGAAGAAAAUGACGGUACCUGAAGAAGAAGCCCCGGCUAACUACGUGCCAGCAGCCGCGGUAAUACGUAGGGGGCAAGCGUUAUCCGGAUUUACUGGGUGUAAAGGGGGCGCAGACGGCGAUGCAAGCCAGGAGUGAAAGCCCACGGCCCAACCGUGGGACUGCUCUGGAAACUGUGCGGCUUGAGUGCGGGAGGGGCAGGCGGAAUUCCUAGUGUAGCGGUGAAAUGCGUAGAUAUUAGGAGGAACACCGGCGGCGAAGGCGGCCUGCUGGACCGUAACUGACGUUGAGGCUCGAAAGCGUGGGGAGCAAACAGGAUUAGAUACCCGAGUA
rnacentral:rRNA from 1 species